rnacentral:rRNA from 1 species
UACGAAGGGGGCUAGCGUUGCUCGGAAUUACUGGGCGUAAAGCGCACGUAGGCGGAUUGUUAAGUCGGGGGUGAAAUCCUGGAGCUCAACUCCAGAACUGCCUUCGAUACUGGCGAUCUCGAGUUCGGGAGAGGUGAGUGGAACUGCGAGUGUAGAGGUGAAAUUCGUAGAUAUUCGCAAGAACACCGGUGGCGAAGGCGGGUCUCUGGGACGGUACUGACGCUGAGACGCGAAAGCGUGGGGAGCGAACAGG